AGCGAACGCUGGCGGCAGGCCUUACACAUGCAAGUCGAACGAACUCUUCGGAGUUAGUGGCGGACGGGUGAGUAACACGUGGGAACGUGCCUCUAGGUUCGGAAUAACUCAGGGAAACUUGUGCUAAUACCGAAUGUGCCCUUCGGGGGAAAGAUUUAUCGCCUUUAGAGCGGCCCGCGUCUGAUUAGCUAGUUGGUGAGGUAAAGGCUCACCAAGGCGACGAUCAGUAGCUGGUCUGAGAGGAUGAUCAGCCACAUUGGGACUGAGACACGGCCCAAACUCCUACGGGAGGCAGCAGUGGGGAAUCUUGCGCAAUGGGCGAAAGCCUGACGCAGCCAUGCCGCGUGAAUGAUGAAGGUCUUAGGAUUGUAAAAUUCUUUCACCGGGGACGAUAAUGACGGUACCCGGAGAAGAAGCCCCGGCUAACUUCGUGCCAGCCGCCGCGGUAA
rnacentral:rRNA from 1 species